UACGGAGGGUGCAAACGUUGCUCGGAAUCAUUGGGCGUAAAGCGCACGUAGGCGGCUCCUCAAGUCGGAUGUGAAAGCCCUGGGCUCAACUCAGGAAGUGCAUCCGAAACUGUGGAGCUUGAAUGCCGGAGGGGCCCAGAGAAUUCCCCGGUGUAGAGGUGAAAUUCGUAGAUAUCGGGAGGAAUACCAGUGGCGAAGGCGCUGGGCUGGACGGUCAUUGACGCUGAGGUGCGAAAGCGUGGGGAGCAAACAGG
rnacentral:rRNA from 1 species